AGCGGUAACAUUUCUAGCUUGCUAGAAGAUGACGAGCGGCGGACGGGUGAGUAAUGCUUGGGAAUAUGCCUUAGGGUGGGGGACAACAGUUGGAAACGACUGCUAAUACCGCAUAACGUCUACGGACCAAAGGGGGCUUCGGCUCUCGCCCUUAGAUUAGCCCAAGUGGGAUUAGCUAGUUGGUGAGGUAAUGGCUCACCAAGGCGACGAUCCCUAGCUGGUUUGAGAGGAUGAUCAGCCACACUGGAACUGAGACACGGUCCAGACUCCUACGGGAGGCAGCAGUGGGGAAUAUUGCACAAUGGGCGCAAGCCUGAUGCAGCCAUGCCGCGUGUGUGAAGAAGGCCUUAGGGUUGUAAAGCACUUUCAGUAAGGAGGAAAGGUUAGUAGUUAAUACCUGCUAGCUGUGACGUUACUUACAGAAGAAGCACCGGCUAACUCCGUGCCAGCAGCCGCGGUAAUACGGAGGGUGCGAGCGUUAAUCGGAAUUACUGGGCGUAAAGCGUACGCAGGCGGUUUGUUAAGCGAGAUGUGAAAGCCCCGGGCUCAACCUGGGAACUGCAUUUCGAACUGGCAAACUAGAGUAUGAUAGAGGGUGGUAGAAUUUCAGGUGUAGCGGUGAAAUGCGUAGAGAUCUGAAGGAAUACCGAUGGCGAAGGCAGCCACCUGGGUCAAUACUGACGCUCAUGUACGAAAGCGUGGGGAGCAAACGGGAUUAGAUACCCCGGUAGUCCACGCCGUAAACGAUGUCUACUAGGAGCUGGGGUCUUCGGACAACUUUUCCAAAGCUAACGCAUUAAGUAGACCGCCUGGGGAGUACGGCCGCAAGGUUAAAACUCAAAUGAAUUGACGGGGGCCCGCACAAGCGGUGGAGCAUGUGGUUUAAUUCGAUGCAACGCGAAGAACCUUACCUACACUUGACAUACAGAGAACUUACCAGAGAUGGUUUGGUGCCUUCGGGAACUCUGAU
rnacentral:rRNA from 1 species